GCAGGUUCCGUGCACCGUGCAAAACCGGAAUAGAACGGCCACGAAGGUUCAGUUCAACAACUUGACAGGUCCACCGGCCUGGUCCAGGCUUCCAGGUCAAGCAGCAAAGCCCAUGCCGGCCUUAGACAAUCCCGUGGCCUCCCUCCCUCAGCCUCCUGGGUGCUGCAGUUGCAGGUGUGGACUGUCAUGCAGGCUCCAUUUACCCCUGAGGAAAGCAGAAGGAGCGGAAGGGCCUCAGAGAGACCAAGACCUGGAGGUCCCAUUCCAGAGCUUCAGGGACCGCUGGUCUCACACUGUAGCCGAGGCCUAUAUGGCUGCAAAGUUGCCACAAUCCACCUGCCUGCCUCGUCUUCCUGAGCGUUGGGACUGCAGACAUGAGACAUAGAUGCCUCUUGUCUCUGUAUGGUGAAUGGCUCCUUUCCCCUUCCUGCAAGGUUGUCUUUCGGUUGGGUAAAAUGAAGCAGGCCACUGGAGAGGCCCUUUGACAAUCUGUAUGACAAUUCCUCUCAUACUCGUAUUGUUAGAGGAUGUGUCUUGGAUGUUGGGAGAUAAAAAAACAAAAAACAAAAACCAAAAAACAACAAAAACCCAUCUAAACAACUAAAAAGAGUGCAGCUUUCUUUUUUUCAUGAAGUCAUAUUCAAUCUAUUGAAUCCAUCAGUGGUGACCGUCCACCUUGGACAGUCCCUCCCCGAUCUGAAACAGGAUGGAGAAAGGCUAUUAAACUGCAUUUAACAAAUUCAGAACGGCAGGCUCUUGGCUAGGGGAAUGGAUUCCACUUAGGAGAAGCGGUUCUUUCUCAAAGGAGGCCAGUUUGCCUGGAGAAGAGAACUUGGAGGGG